GGGGACAUGAGGACGAGGCGGCCCCAGUACCUGAGGUGGAGGUGGAGGAGGAGGCGGGCCAGCCCCGUGAAAAUGGCCAGGAGGAGUCCUUAGCCAUCGCCUGGGCUGAGCCGGAAGACGAGCCUGGCCCCAAGGUGGACGGGGCGGACGAUGAAAUCUCUUGGAGCUUGGAGAGUGUGUGUGAGAGCGACCUCGC